rnacentral:rRNA from 1 species
UACGGGGGGGGCAAGCGUUGUUCGGAAUUACUGGGCGUAAAGGGCUCGUAGGCGGCCAACUAAGUCAGACGUGAAAUCCCUCGGCUUAACCGGGGAACUGCGUCUGAUACUGGAUGGCUUGAGAUUGGGAGAGGGAUGCGGAAUUCCAGGUGUAGCGGUGAAAUGCGUAGAUAUCUGGAGGAACACCGGUGGCGAAGGCGGCAUCCUGGACCAACACUGACGCUGAGGCGCGAAGGCGUGGGGAGCGAACGGG